UUCUUCUUCGCGCCGCUGGUCCCUUCCUCCUUGUCCUUCCCUCAGAACUCUCUCUCAAGGGGAUAUCUUCAGCACUCCCCAUUCCAUAUGCUUAUAGCAAUGUGGUUGAUGAAGACACAUAGUUGAAAAUGAACAAAGGUUUCAUAGCUGACUUUGAUUACCUUCAAAUGACUCCCCACCAAGUGACGAAGCUCCUGCCAGUCUAAUUUUCAUCCAUUUUUCUUCCGUUUCCCUGACCUUUGUUUUUCUAUUUAUUUUAUUGCUUAAGUUCUAUGUGUUUUUUUCACUUAUCAAAGUUUUUCAGGUCUCAACCGAGAACUACAAGCAGGAUGUCCAGAAGUUGAAGAGACAACUGAAGGAUCAAUUAGUUCGAUCGAGAGAGAACUGAACUACAAAAAGAAGCAAAGCUAAUUAGAGAAAUCCUUCAUAGGCUUUCUGAAUGUGCAGCAACUUGCAAAGGCUUUUAUGUGGAUGUGUUAUCAAAGACUCAGCAUAAGUGAAAUUGGCACAAGCUUGAAGCCAGCUUGCCUUGCGUCUGCAACCCCACCGUCGAGCACGUCAGAUCCAAUUAAUGAAAAAGGGGCAAUUCAAUUGAUGUAGUUGAAGAAAAAUUUGACAAAAGGAAAAAAGAAUAGAGAGAAAAAGUGAUUGAAACGUGAUGAGAAUCAAGGAGAGAGAGGGAGAGAAAGGCUGAUGUAGGAACUAGGAACCUUUUAGAUAUGGAUUUUUAAUCACUGAAAGUUAGCACCCACCGCAGGUUUGAUAUUUUAAUUGUUUAAUUGUUACUUGAUGUUGGUUAGGACCGCCAUUAUGUCAGAAUUUAACCUUGCUUCUAACCGACGUAAGGUUUGAUAUCAUUUUUAA